UACGGAGGGUGCGAGCGUUAUCCGGAAUUACUGGGUUUAAAGGGUGCGUAGGCGGCUGUGUAAGUCAGGAGUGAAAGCUUGCGGCUCAACCGUAAAAUUGCUUUUGAUACUGCACGGCUGGAAUCAGGAUGAGGUCAGCGGAAUGUGGCAUGUAGCGGUGAAAUGCAUAGAUAUGCCAUAGAACACCAAUUGCGAAGGCAGCUGGCUAGACCUGUAUUGACGCUGAGGCACGAAAGCGUGGGGAGCGAACAGG
rnacentral:rRNA from 1 species